rnacentral:rRNA from 1 species
UUCCCGGGUCUUGUACUCACCGCCCGUCACACCAUGGGAGUUGUGUUUGCCUUAAGUCAGGAUGCUAAAUUGGCUACUGCCCACGGCACACACAGCGACUGGGGUGAAGUCGUAACAAGGUAACCGUAGGUGAACCUGCGGUUGGAUCACCUCCUUUCUAGA